rnacentral:rRNA from 1 species
UAGGGAAUCUUCCGCAAUGGACGCAAGUCUGACGGAGCAACGCUGCGUGAGUGAAGAAGGAUUUCGGUUCGUAAAACUCUGUUGUUAGAGAAGAACAGCGCAUAGAGUAACUGUUAUGCGUGUGACGGUAUCUAACCAGAAAGCCACGGCUAACUACGUGCCAGCAGCCGCGGUAAUACGUAGGUGGCAAGCGUUGUCCGGAUUUAUUGGGCGUAAAGCGAGCGCAGGCGGUCAAUUAAGUCUGAUGUGAAAGCCCCCGGCUCAACCGGGGAGGGUCAUUGGAACCUGGUUGACUUGAGUGCAGAAGAGGAGAGUGGAAUUCCAUGUGUAGCGGUGAAAUGCGUAGAUAUAUGGAGGAACACCAGUGGCGAAGGCGACUCUCUGGUCUGUAACUGACGCUGAGGCUCGAAAGCGUGGGUAGCAAACAGG